GAAUUGAUUGAAUUGAGUAGCGGUGGGAGUGAAACCACUCUUCAAUAGAGAAACAAGGGCGAGAGAGAAUGGUCUAAUGUUAGAAAUCUUAGAGAAAAUCAUGGCCUAUAGUUCUAUACAGUACGAUUUGCGAACUAAUUUGAGAAAAAAAUGGAAAACCAAAGAGCAAAUACUGUUCAAAUACCGAAGAUGAAGAGCCUAAUGCAGCCAAGUUCUUCUUCAAUAAUUUUCCGAUCAGGUUUCACUGGUGGUGUUGCAUAAC
rnacentral:misc_RNA from 1 species